ensembl:lincRNA
GAUGAGAUGGGAAGGGUAUUGACUGGGUUUUCCUGACCAAAGAACCUUGCAGUUCCAGCUAGUUCCUUUGGUAACCCCUUAUGGAGUAGUAGGAAUGCCAAUAAAAAAGGUCGGAUCCUUGAUUAUGUCGACAAGUGGACUAAAUUUUAACAAAAUCUCCCCAGCCAUAGGUACUCAACAAACACUGAUUACCCUAAGAAUGUGCGAUCAACGAAUAAAUGAUAGGUAUCAUGGCCUCCAGGGGACGCCCCCUGCCUGGUGAAGAGACUCCCGUCGAAGGCAGAGCUCCGGAGACUCCUACUACCGAGGGAGGCGACCAGACCGGAAUCCCAACACAUUCUGGCAUCCCGGCUCUCCGCGUGGGAGGGAAGAAGGGCGUGUCCGCCUCCUCAAGGCUGGGGCCGCGCCUGUUACCUGCGACGACUGGGCUCCAGACAGGGGACGGGUACGGCGUGUGUGGCGGCACUCCGAAGCUAUGUGAAGCGCCAGACCUAGAAUAGGAGCGCCAGAGGAGCGACCUUGGGGAUACUGCGGGAGGACUCGGCCAACAAAACGGUUAGCUCCCCAACCCCGCGCCGGGCGGACUGACCAAGGCCAGGCGAGUGAGCGCGCGUGCGCACUGGCGCGCGCCCGGCAGGAAAAAGCCCAGCGCGAGACCCCGCGCGCGCGCGCGCGUUCGAAAGGGAAAAAAAAAGUCUUCCCCGCGGGGGCCCGCGGCAAUUUAGGCCGGAGUUGGCCGGCGAGCGCGCGUGCGCGAGCGCGCAUAGACGCCUUUCUCCACAGCUCCCCUCGGUUGGGGGUCUAGCGCUGUGUUCCGCUGCUCCUGCUUCUCCAGAGGCUCGCGCCCUCGGGGUAAGUACCUCGCGCCUCGCGGAAAGGGAGAAAGAGGGUCUACUGAAGGAAGGGAGGAGGCGGAUAGAGCUGGGAAAAAGGAAAAAACCGCCUUCGCAGAGCAAGGAACGCAAUCAACGGGUUGGAGUCUACAGAAGACACACCUCCAUCCCUCACGCCCCUCGGGGCUGCGGAAGUACUCAGGAGACUCGAGCGGCACGGAGACGACAGGUGGACUACCAUUCCCAGAAGGCGGCGCGGCGCCGCGCCUACUGCUCCCGGCAGCGCCUGCGCGUCAGGCUUUUUUCAGUUUGCGGCCGCCUAGAGCGAAACUACAGUUCCCAGGAGGCCUCGCGCGAGGCGGCUUGGAAGUGGGCAGCCUGGAAGUCACUCGGGCCACUGGAGCUGGCGGCGUCUCCAGCAAGCGGCGCGGAUCUGAACGCCGCGGUCGUGGGGCCCGCGGGGCGGGCAGCUGGGAGACCCAGAUGCACAGUCUUUGACCUCAGCUCUCCUGGGACCCAUAAGGAGCACUAGUGUCCAGAACGUACCAAGGCAUGGCAGGGAAGGCGGCCCUGCAGCCCGCCAGCCUUCACACACAACUGCUGCUCUCUCUGCCCCGCUGACCCACUCAGUCUGGAGGCCCUGGGACAGCGCCUGCCUCGAGAGGUUGUCCAGGCACUGCUGUCCACAGCGAUGGUGGAGAAUUGGACUCCACAGGCUCACAACCUUCCCAUCAGGCUUCAGGGGCCAGCAUCCUUCAUCCUAGGACUGGUGGCCCUGAACAAUGGCUGAGGGCCAGGGGACCCCAUAAAGUUAGGCUACAGCUUUCAGGGGCCAGCAGCACUCCAGCGCCCGUGGACUAUGACCACCUAUCGGCCCAUCCCCAGUGAUGGUGUGGACCUGGCAGCCAGCUGUGGGGCCAGGGCGGCCGAUGUCCUGCCCGGGCCGCACACAGGGGACUACGCUCCCUUGGGAUUCUGGGUGCAGAACGGCAGCGUGCCCCAGCCCGCGGGCGAGAGCACGGUCAGCGCCCCCACCCGCCCCAGCCCCACCCCCUCUGCCAUGCCCAUCACACGCCUCCGCGCCCGCUGGAUCGUGCACAGGUU